rnacentral:rRNA from 1 species
CCUACGGGAGGCAGCAGUGGGGAAUCUUGCGCAAUGGGCGGAAGCCUGACGCAGCAACGCCGCGUGCGGGAAGAAGGCCUUAGGGUCGUAAACCGCUUUCAGGGGGGACGAAGCUUCCGGGGUUAAUAGCCUACGGGGUGACGGUACUCCCAAAAGAAGGUCCGGCUAACUACGUGCCAGCAGCCGCGGUAAUACGUAGGGACCGAGCGUUGUCCGGAAUCAUUGGGCGUAAAGAGCGUGUAGGCGGCUUGGUAGGUCUCGUGUGAAAUCCCGCGGCUCAACCGCGGAUCCGCACGGGAAACCCCUAAGCUCGAGUCCGGAAGAGGAGAGUGGAAUUCCUGGUGUAGCGGUGAAAUGCGCAGAUAUCAGGAAGAACACCCGUAGCGAAGGCGGCUCUCUGGGACGGUACUGACGCUGAGACGCGAAAGCGUGGGGAGCAAACAGGAUUAGAUACCCUGGUAGUCCACGCCGUAAACGAUGGGCGCUAGGUGUGGGAGGUGUCGACUCCUCCCGUGCCGAAGCUAACGCAUUAAGCGCCCCGCCUGGGGAUACGGCCGCAAGGCAAAACUCAAAUGAAUUGACGGCUGAAGCNGCGAGCGACGACGAGGAGAGG